GUAUACUUAGCUCAAUGGUUAGAGAAUCACUCAUGAAUUCUGAGGUUGUGGGUUCAGGUCCCACAGCAAACA
rnacentral:tRNA from 1 species